UAAUAAAUUAUAUUUAAUAAUAAUAAAAGUGUUUAUUAAUUAAAUAAAAAAAAUAUUAAGUGAAAUUUUAUUUUUUUUUUGUAAUUUUUAGAUUAAUUGAUUUUAAUAAAAUUUGAUUAUAAACUAGGAUUAGAUACCCUAUUAUUCAAUUUGUAAUUUAAAGUAUUUGAGUAGUAGUAGUUAAAGUCUUGAAACUUAAAAAAUUUGGCGGUAUUUUAGUCUAUUCAGAGGAACCUGUAGUGUAAUUGAUAAUCCACGUUGGACCUUAUUUAGUUUUGUUUUACAGUUUGUAUACCGCCGUUAUUAAAAAAUUUUAUAAGAAUAAUAAUUUUUAUGAUUUUUAAUUAAAAAAUAAAUCAGGUCAAGGUGCAGCUUAUAAUUAAAUAUUUUAUGGGUUACAAUAAAUUUAUUUAUUAUGAAUUAAAUUGUGAAAAAUAAUUUAUGAAAGUGGAUUUGAAAGUAAAUUUUUAUAGAUAAAAAAGUUGAUUUUA
rnacentral:rRNA from 1 species